GUCCGAUACGGCUACGGCUUUAUCGGCGAGUCCUUGUUAUACUUCAAGGGAGAGGUAAUCCUUCACCGAGCACUAAAACGGUGUAAACAUUAGGGACAACC
rnacentral:sRNA from 23 species